CCGGCAGCUGGAUCAGGCGCCGUUGAAGGAGCUGAUGAUGGUAGAUUCGGAGGUGGUGGUGCGGCUGGUGAGGAGGUUCAUGAACGAGGAGGAAGUUUGUAGAAGCGGCGCGGCGCUUAAGAAAGUGGCUAGACUCGUUGACGGCUACCUUGCUGAAGCAGCUGUUGAUCCUCAUCUGACGUUGCCGCAGUUUGUUGCUCUUGCUACCGCCCUCCCCUGCCAUGCACGCGCCACCGACGAUGGUGUUUAUCGUGCCAUCGAUAUAUACCUCAAAGUAAGCUAGCUAUUACUAGAUUUUUUGGGAUUAUUUCACCAAAUCUUCAUAGUGCUUUUCAGAAAAUUCACUUUCAUGAAAAAUUCUUUAUAUAUAUAUAUAGUCACUGCUAGCUAGCAUAAGAUUCUUCCUAGAGUUAACAAGAAAAAGAGUUUUCCUGCAUAUAUAAAUGAAUUAUAUCUGAGUUUAUUAUUAAGAAUUAGGCCAGAUGAAAUAUAUAAAAACAGUAUAUUACUAUUUAUUAAGAUGGAUUGAAAACUUAAAAUAUUAUGCUAAACCUUUUGAUUCUUUUCAAAAUUUAAGAUAACUUACUUGAUUCAUAUUUUAUUGAAAGGAAUAUAUAGAAUAGCAUAAAUUAUUGUGAUAAAUUAAAGAUAAAAAUAGUGAGCAUUUAAUUUAGUUGAAAUUAAUUAUUAGAAUUUCAUUAAUUUCACCUUUUUCAAUAGAACAUAAAUCAAACAAAUUAGUUGAAAUUGUAGAAAUUAUCAAGGGCAUAUAUAAGAUAUCCAAAAUCACAAUAUGUCUUUGUGAAUAAUAAAUUACUAUGUAUACUGUUUUUCUCUAUUCAGGCCAAUUCUAAAUAGCAAACGCCCCUAAGUAUAUUGUCUUACUUCCCAUUUGAUUUAAUUUGUAUUCAUUUUUGGGUUGUCUCAUUUGAUUUAGUAUGUUGUUAUUUUUUGGAGAAUCACUUUACAGUUUACACUGACUACAUUAAGGAUACGUUUGAUUUGAAUGAUAAAAAAAUGAACACACAUAUAUAUAUGCAGGCACAUCCAGGAUUGUCAAAGCAAGAGAGAAAAAGGCUGUGCAUGUUGAUCGAGAGCAGAAAGCUAUCAACGGAGGCAUGCCUCCAUGCGAGUCAAAACGAGAGGCUGCCGGUGCGGGCCGUGAUCCAGGUGCUGCUGUCGGAGCAGGACAAGCUGAGCAGGCACAUCGAGUGGAGCGGCUCGCUGAGCCCGUUUGUGGGGCCCGACAUGCGUUGCCUGUCGAAGCGCGAGGUGAUGAGCCAGCAGAUGGAGAUGAAGAGGCUCAAGGAAGACGUAGUGAUGCUGCAGAGGCAGUGCACCAGCAUGGAGAGGCAGAUGCAAAAGCUGUUGAAGAAGAAGGGAUAUUUCAGCUGGAAAAAGCUCGGCGCCGCCGUCUUUAAAAUUGGAGAAACGCCCAAUUCGCCCAUGCACUUGCCCGGACCCGGACCCACCACCUCUAACAGGUGGACCAAAUCUAUGCAGCUUGAAACUUAAAGACAAUUCACUUGGUUAAAAAAAUUUGGACCAUUUCUCGAUUUAUGCGUGUCAUCCUUGCGCAGGGGCCAUGCUAAUCUUCUCUGUAUCGUUCCAAUUUUAUCGGAUGUCCCCGAAGGGACAAUGCUUACUGCUAUCUCGUUCGCUAUAAAGCUUAAAUGUGUUGUUUGUAUUUUCGGUGUGGGAGAAGUACUGAAGAAGAAAGAAAUGAAAGUGAAUUGGGCCGGGCCGGGUAGAAUUCUAUUGAGACUUAAGUGAUUCCUUCAUUUUCUUUUUGGACCCUUAAUUUUCUACUCAUAUGGUUGAGUAUAGGACAAUUACAAAUGGUACUUCUUUUUAUUUUUUAUACGUGUGUAGUUUUUUUCUUCAAAAAAUAUGUGUGUAGUUGUAUGAAAAAAAUAAAAUAAAAAUAAAACAUGACUACAAGUAUUUAGUAUUUUUCCUAUCUUUUAUAAGAAUUAAUGAAAGAACAGAGUAUUAUCAAAUGUAGUUAAUAAAAUAAAAUAAAAAUCUUAUCUUCUAGAUCCAGUACAUGUAGGUUUUAGGAUACCUAACCUUCAUUCUAUAUAUGAAGUUGAUUUUUUUUUCCAAAUUUUAUUUCUUUAUUCCUUUUUGGUGGAAUCGGCAAAAAUUAUCGAAGAAUUGAAACUGAAGAUCCCCUAAAAAACAAUAUUAUUUAUUCAUUUGUGAUUUUAUAUAGUUUUACCUUUUCAUUUUCCCACAUUUUACCCCUACGUAUAUGAUUUUGAUAUUCGAGUGACAUGAUAGUGAUUAGUUACAAAUCACGCAAAGUAAUUCUAAUCAGCAUCUAGGCGCGAGAUUCUGCACAAUGGAACUGUUAGAACCGGGUACACGAUCGAGAUAUUACAAAAUAUUUAUUUUGAGAAAUUACAACUCAAAAUAAUUGAAAUAUUACAAAGUAAAUAAUUUGAGAAAUUACAACUCAAAUAAUUUGAUACAACUGAAAUAUACUGUAUAAAUAAAUUAUACGUAUAAACAAAAUCGAGUCGAGAUGAAUCUCUUCCCGCAAGAAGAUUAUCGCCCCGGUAGUGCUCUUCGGUUUGGCGUAUCUUCCCCAAAGGUAAAACGACUACGUCUCGGCGGAUGUAGCACCACAAUCCGGCGAGCUCCGGCGAACUGAAUAAGGAUCGAAAACUGAGCUAGAGGUGGAAUGCAGAAUGCAGACUAUUUUGUGAGUUGUGAGUUGUGAGUUUUCAGAGUAAUAAUUCUAAAGCUCACCACACACCCAUAUUUAUAGGUGUUAAACCGAGUGUGAACGGAUCGGCAGUCAACUCCGGCGGCUGCGGUAGGUGGCCGCAAUCGUUGAACGCAGAAGUUGAAACAGUCAAUUCCGGCGGCUGCGGUAGGUGGCCGCAAUCGUUGAACGCAGAGUUGAAACUGAUUUUUCCUCUUCAACAUCCAAACUUUGACAUACAUAUCUCACUCACCGGAAAUCGGUAUGAGACUUCAAGUAUAUCACGUUGAUCUACUCGAGAUGUAGAUUAACAUCCAAUCAUUAUUUUAAUUAAAUAAUAAAUAUUUAAUUAAAUAAUAAUUUUCAGAUUUGGCAUAAAACCAUAUUUCCAACAAUCCCCCACAUGAGUGAGAAAUCAGUAUNCGGCGCGCGUGGCCGGCGUUGUGGGAGCGGAGGCCGGGUGCCGCGAGGAGAUCGAGAGGCGCGUUUCCCGGCAGCUGGAUCAGGCGCCGUUGAAGGAGCUGAUGAUGGUAGAUUCGGAGGUGGUGGUGCGGCUGGUGAGGAGGUUCAUGAACGAGGAGGAAGUUUGUAGAAGCGGCGCGGCGCUUAAGAAAGUGGCUAGACUCGUUGACGGCUACCUUGCUGAAGCAGCUGUUGAUCCUCAUCUGACGUUGCCGCAGUUUGUUGCUCUUGCUACCGCCCUCCCCUGCCAUGCACGCGCCACCGACGAUGGUGUUUAUCGUGCCAUCGAUAUAUACCUCAAAGUAAGCUAGCUAUUACUAGAUUUUUUGGGAUUAUUUCACCAAAUCUUCAUAGUGCUUUUCAGAAAAUUCACUUUCAUGAAAAAUUCUUUAUAUAUAUAUAUAGUCACUGCUAGCUAGCAUAAGAUUCUUCCUA
rnacentral:lncRNA from 1 species